rnacentral:misc_RNA from 1 species
GGUGUAUCGAAUUUCAAAACUUCCUUUCCAUUCACUUUAGCUGAAGCUUCUCCUCACUCUCUCUCUCUUUAUCUCCUUCCCCUUCUUAGCCUUGGUGCUGGUUCAUGGAUAUUGAACCCUUGUGGACUCUUGGGGGGUGGUUUCUUUUUUCUAUUUGCAUGGCAAAACCAAACUCAAAAUUGCCAAUCUCUGAAACCAACACCAAAUCGCACCAUUUCUUUCUCUUGUUUGCUCUUGUGAUCUUCAUUUUUCUUUUACUCAUUAGCCCUACCAAACCCACAAAACAAUCCACUAUGGGUUCCUCAAUUUCCUUCAAAAGGCUUCUCUUGGAAUCCUCAUCAGAAUCAACCUCAACUACCAUGACGAACUUGCACCCAAAACAAUCACAAAGCUCGCACGAUUCUUCUUCAACAAAAUCUAGGGGAUCAGUGUUUGGUGCUAAGGCUCAUGAAGUUCCUAGCGGACCAAACCCUAUAUCAAAUAGGUAAAUAAGUUUUAUGGAAGGGAUAAAUUUGCAGCUGCAUCAAGAGGCCUCCGGAUGAAGAUGCUAGAGUUGUAACGGUGAAUUUAUUACGAAUUUGUCUUCUUUAUGGUUAUAGUUUUAGUGCACCAAUUAAUACUUGUCCUCACUCGUCAGUGAGAAGUUUGUUAAGUUUGCUGUUAUGUCAUUAUCUUUAACCUUCUUUCUUUUUCUUUUUUUCCUUUUUUUGUCCCUUUUUGUAUUGGGGGGUAAUGAAGGAUGCAUUCCUCUUUAUCACUAGAAAUGUAUAGCAAGAGAAACACUCUCUAUUUUGAUAUUAAUAUAUUAUAUAUAGAGAUAAGAUGAUGAUGGUAUGGGUUCUUGUUGGUUUUUAAAGCAAUAAAAAUCUCAAAGACUAGUUGUGUU